UAGGUUUGACAUGCUGGUGAAAGCUCGACUUUCAUCGAGCUUUCACCAGCAUGUCAAACCUAGGUAAGGUUCUUCGCGUUGCUUCGAAUUAAACCACAUGCUCCACCGCUUGUGCGGGCCCCCGUCAAUUCCUUUGAGUUUCAGCCUUGCGGCCGUACUCCCCAGGCGGGGCACUUAUCGCGUUAGCUGCGGCACCGACGGGGUCGCUCCCCCCGGCACCUAGUGCCCAUCGUUUACGGCGUGGACUAC
rnacentral:misc_RNA from 1 species